rnacentral:rRNA from 1 species
GACGAACGCUGGCGGCGUGCCUAAUACAUGCAAGUUGAGCGCUGAAGGUUGGUACUUGUACCAACUGGAUGAGCAGCGAACGGGUGAGUAACGCGUGGGGAAUCUGCCUUUGAGCGGGGGACAACAUUUGGAAACGAAUGCUAAUACCGCAUAAAAACUUUAAACACAAGUUUUAAGUUUGAAAGAUGCAAUUGCAUCACUCAAAGAUGAUCCCGCGUUUUAUUAGCUAGUUGGUGAGGUAAAGGCUCACCAAGGCGAUGAUACAUAGCCGACCUGAGAGGGGGAUCGGCCACAUUGGGACUGAGACACGGCCCAAACUCCUACGGGAGGCAGCAGUAGGGAAUCUUCGGCAAUGGACGAAAGUCUGACCGAGCAACGCCGCGUGAGUGAAGAAGGUUUUCGGAUCGUAAAACUCUGUUGGUAGAGAAGAACGUUGGUGAGAGUGGAAAGCUCAUCAAGUGACGGUAACUACCCAGAAAGGGACGGCUAACUACGUG